rnacentral:miRNA from 14 species
UCUAGUUAGCAAAUUUUACUAUCUUAUGUAUAUACAUGUGUGUGUGUGUGUGUGUGUGUGUGUGUGUGUGUAUAUAUAUAUAUAUAUACACAUAUAUAUAUGUAUAUAUAUAUAC